rnacentral:rRNA from 1 species
UACGGAGGGGGCUAGCGUUGUUCGGAAUUACUGGGCGUAAAGCGUACGUAGGCGGCUUUGUAGGUUAGAGGUGAAAGCCCAGAGCUCAACUCUGGAAUUGCCUUUAAGACUGCAUCGCUUGAAUCGUGGAGAGGUUAGUGGAAUUCCGAGUGUAGAGGUGAAAUUCGUAGAUAUUCGGAAGAACACCAGUGGCGAAGGCGACUAACUGGACACGUAUUGACGCUGAGGUACGAAAGCGUGGGGAGCAAACAGG